rnacentral:rRNA from 1 species
CCUACGGAGGGCUGCAGUGGGGAAUAUUGCGCAAUGGGCGAAAGCCUGACGCAGCGACGCCGCGUGAGGGAUGAAGGUCUUCGGAUCGUAAACCUCUGUCAGCAGGGAAGAACGGUCACUGUGCUAAUCAGCCGUGAAUUGACGGUACCUGCAAAGGCAGCACCGGCUAACCCCGUGCCAGCAGCAGCGGUAAUACGGAGGGUGCGGGCGUUAAUCGGAAGUGCUGGGCGUAAAGCGCUCGUAGGCGGUAUGUCAAGUCAAGGGUGAAAUCCCCGCGCUCAACGUGGGAACUGCAUUUGAAACUGGCAAACUGGAGUGUGUGCGAGGAUAGUGGAAU